GGGGCUAUAGCUCAGCUGGGGAGAGCGCCUGCUUUGCACGCAGGAGGUCUGCGGUUCGAUCCCGCAUAGCUCCACCA
rnacentral:tRNA from 4 species